rnacentral:hammerhead_ribozyme from 1 species
AUCUGGCUGACGAGUCUAAAAUAGAACGAAACGCGCGUCCUGGAU